rnacentral:ncRNA from 1 species
UAAAUUGAGAGUUUGAUCCUGGCUCAGGACGAACGCUGGCGGCGUGCCUAAUACAUGCAAGUCGAACGCAUCCCGCUGAAUUGAAGUGCUUGCACUGAUUUUCAGCAUUGGAUG